CUCGGGCUGUGACGGGGUCCGAUGUGGAGAACGCCAACUCGUGAAGACCUCCAUCGUCAAAGUCCGACUUGAUGAAUCAAAGUGUCGUGGCGGAAACGUGGCGUCGUCAUCGACUUUGUGCCGAGAGAGGACUACUAGCACAGCAUCCUGGAGGAGAAGCACCCCGACCGUCAGCAUCCUGCACCUGCCGGACAAGUUCUAGAUGAACACACACAUUUUCAAUGUUGACACUUGUUAAUAAUCAGCUUGACUGCUCUCUCAUUUUUUUCUUUGUCCAGGCUUUUGCCUCGCUGCUCCAGUCCACUCGUGCCCUCAAAUUAUCUCAGACUUCGCAUGGCCUCUUUCGCGGGUGGUGAACCACAUCCAGAAGGUGCUGAAGCCACAUUUCGGGGCAGUUUGACAUCUGCACUGGGUACUGAAGAACAUGCAGCAGUGUGAACGUGCAACAUCCCAGAAAAAACAACGCCUUGUCCUCUUCAUUGCUGGGAGGUGACGACAGGCUGGUCCACGCUGGCAUUGAAGGUCCAUUCCACAACACUGAGCUGGUUGUUGAUGUCUUCCUGGCUUUUUUUUUUUUUGGGGGGGGGGG